rnacentral:lncRNA from 1 species
CCUUGCAGCCCCAGCUGGAAGAAUACUUUUGUAAGCUUAAAAACAAUUUUUAAAAAGAAAAGUAACUGAGACUAAUAAACCUUACAGAACUCAUAAAGACCAUAACUACUUCCUUCAGAUAAGAUGAGGACACUGGAGCCCUAGCCUGGAUCAAGAACAGCAAUGUCCUGGUUUCCCAUCUUAUUUAUGCUCUUUCCACUUACCACGUUCCUUUUAAAUGUCUAAGAAUUUCAUUGUUUAUUUUAAGCCAUUUAUCACAGCUGUUAUCUUAAUCGUAGUUGCGUUUGUUUAACAACCACUGCGGCUUAUCGAGAAUUUAUCUAACAUAUUUUAUAGAAUAAGCAUACCCUUUAAAAGAGAUAUCAGGUAUUAUGAAGAAAACCUUACAUAAGUUAUUUCUCCAAGCAUAAAAUGUUCACAUAUUUUUAAUUGAGGUUUCCCUGUAGCAGAUCAAAUGAUGCAUUUGUUUUGGUGAUUAGUGCCAAACAUUGACACAGUGAGAGAGGCAGUUAGACAGCAGCAGCAAUGUGAGGGGGCUCUGGGGACACAGUUCUGUCCUGCAUACUCUGGGGAGACCCACACUGUUCUCCAAGACUGCAUUCCAACAAAGGCGAAUGAUGUGUAUACUUGUGAGAAAAAUGAAACCAUUCUUAUAAACAAAAGGAUAAUUAACUGCAAACAAAUAUAAUCCUCUCUGAGAAUAUAAGAGAAGAAGACGGACAUGGUGGAGAUUUAAUUUCAAGGGUGUGGGAUACAUCUUCACAACUGCCUUUCCAGGUAGGUAAGAUUGGAGCCAAACUUUGAAGGGAUGAGAGGGAUCAAAGUAUCCCUUAAUAGACGUACGUUCUCUCCUCGAAGAUGACAGGGACAAUUUGGUCAGGAUCUCAGAUCAGAUUCCUUUUGCUUCAUCUUCACUUACCCCGUAUGGUUAAUCCCAAGAAGCCUGUGAAUCUGAGCAGGAACAAACAAACAAACAAGCAUCACGGCUGACCCACUUUGGAGAUGUGGAAACUUAGCAAAUGACAUUUUUCUAAGACAUCGACUGACAUUUUUUUUUCAUAGCAAAAAAACAGAUGCUUUUUAGCCUUGGGAAAAACUACUUAAUAUUUUAAGUGGAUGCAAUUUCACUUAGUUAUUUAGAAUCUGACCACCAAAAUGUCUAAUAUUUAUUUACUAGCUUUGAUUUAUCUUUAAAAUGACAUUUCUGUGUUUGAAUAUGAGCCAAUUGGAAGAACUCAAACACAGGCCAAAGUUUGGUGUAUUUCAGAGUCAAUGUCCAUUUCUCACAGUGAUGAUUUCAGCUCCCCAUCUUGCCCAGGAUUUGGUAUAAAUGCAGAUACAAUGUGCUCAUGCGAGCAUGUAUAUGUUCCAUGUCAUUUAGAGCUAGAAACUUCCCCAGAGAGGGUACCACCCACGGCUAUCGAAAUAGCACCAAAAUGCUCCACAGGGGAAAUAUCAUGAAUAUGCAGAGACUCUUAAUUUUCUUCUUUAUUUUCUUUACAUUACAUGGAAAAUCUGUCAAAACACUUUCUUUAAAGGAUAAAGGGUUCUGCUUCUUUUUAUGCAUGCUGUUUACUUGGGGGAUACGGAAUCGUUUCUAUCAGGCACUUGAUCUUCUCAGAAGUGUUUUCUGGGUUUGCAGGAGGGGAGGGCAUGUAGAGCAGUGCUGAUGGCAUCAGCCUAAACCUCCCAAUCUAUAGGAAUAAAGACGGCUGCUGGACAGACACAUGGUGUCUGCUCUGAUUGCACCGCCUCCCUGGUCACAACCUUUCACUGUGGUCAUUCUGGUAGAAAAAGAGCAUACCUAGGUUUCAGACACCUGGAGCUUUUUUUUUUUUUUUUUUUUGAGAUGCAGUCUUGCUCUGUUGCCUAGGCUGGACUGCAGUGGCGUGAUCUUGGCUCACUGCAACCUCCGCCUCCCAGAUUCAAGCGAUUCUCCUACCUCAGCCUCCCAAGUAGCUGAGAUUACAGGUGCCCACCACUAUGCCCAGCUAAUUUUUUUUAUUUUUAGUAGAGAUGGGAUUUCACCAUGUUGGCCAGGCUGGUCACAAACUCCUGACCUCAAGUGAUCCACCCUCUUCGGCCUCCCAAAGUGGAGCUCUUACCUCUAAGAAGGUAACCAUGAUAUGAACUUCCAAUGAACAAAUAGAAACAUGGGUCUUUACUUCAAUCCAGACAACAUUUUCAUCAGACCAUGCACCCAGGGCUGCUCCCUGGGCUGUGACUUGUGCAGUCUCACAGGGUCCUGUGUUUGGUUUCACACUCUGCUCUCACCAUUUUGAAGUCCUUACUAAUUUUUUUUAUAAAAGGCCCUGCAUUAUCAUUGUGUGGGAACUGGGUUCUGCACAUUAUGCAGCCAGGCCUGCCUGCAGCCUCGGAUUCUUCACCCUGGUAGGGAAAGGUGUAUGUUUGGAGAGUUUUUUGUUGUUGUUGUUGUUGUUUGUUUGUUUUUUAAGACAAGGUCUUGCUCUGUUACCCAGGCUGGAGUGCAGUGGCCUGAUCAUGGCUCACUGCAGCCUUGACCUCCCGGGCUUAAGUGAUCCUCCUGCCUCAGCCUCUGAGGCACUAGGACUACAGGCACACACCACCAUGCCUGGCCAAUUUAUUUUUAUUUUUUGUAGAGAUGAGGUCUCCCCAGGUUGCCCAGGCUGGUCUCAAACUUCUGGACUCAAGUGAUCCUCUCAUUUUGGCCUCCCAAAUCACUGGGAUUACAGGCGUGAUUUUUUUUUUUUUUUUUAAUGCUCAGCCUAGAUGGUUUUUUUAUUUUAUUAUUAUUAUUUAUACUUUAUCAGAGUUUGCUCAGAGCAUCAAUGGAAAAGAAAAAGGCCCUAGUUCUCCCACUGCAGCUCACCUUCCUGUCAAGAGAGAAUUCUCCAGGCAGGCCUUUUGCGUUGCUUCUGCCCAUAAAAAUAUUUAACAAGAGCUCCACACUGCAGAAUUGGAGGCCCACACAACCUUGAAGGGAGGGCUUGUCCGAGUGAUGGACCUUGGCCUUCUUCAGGUGGACACUGUCAAAACCCCAGAUGGAGGAAAGCUUUACCCUUUGUUUUUGAGAACACCUUCAUCAUUUCUGAGCUUCCUAGACGUUUUAUUUCCAAGGUCAAUAAUGGGAUUUGCUUGAAAAGCUUCUGAGUUUAUAUGCUGAGAUUAUACAUAAACAAACUCCAAAUAUCUCACCUUUUGGUCAACAAAAAUAUCCUGAACUAUAAACUUCCUGCUACUCAGUCAGGCAAAUGAGAACCACGAUAUUGAGAGGGCUGUGAGUUGUUCCCAUUCACUGUUUCACAGUACUCACUGUUUGACUGUUUCACAGAAGCUUAAUUGAAACCUUUUACCCAUUUCACCAGGUGAAGAAAUGUCAAUCCCCUCUGCUUUUGUUGCUCUCCACAUCUCGGAGUGUGGGUAGCAGAGCUAGCUGGUGGGCAGAGCUGUGAAAGUUCAUAAUGAGAACAAAGGAACACUCAAAACUUAUCUAACAGGGGCUCAUGCCUGUAAUCCUAGCACUUUGGGAGGCCGAGGUGGACGGAUCAUCUAAGGUCAGGAGUUCAAGACCAGCCUGGCCAACAUGGUAAAAUCCUGUCUCUACUUAAAAUACAAAAAAACAGCUG